CCUAUCUGUCUUCCCUUAGAUUCAACAUUAAAAAGCAAUACCUUUGAAGGUUAUAUGGAAGUAGCAGGGUGGGGACAAACGGAAACAAAGUCAUGGUCAGAAAUUAAAAUGAAGCUCAGUAAGAGUUAGAAAUACAAAAGAUUGUAAAGAUAUUUACAGGCAGAUAGAUGUAAAGAUCACUGAGAAUCAGAUUUGUGCGGGUGGCCUAAAGGGUCAGGUUUCUUGUAGGAGAGAUUCUGGUGGAGUACUUAUGGGGCGAGUCGAUAAUACUUAGAACUAGAUGGCAGUUGGUGUAGUCUUCUAUGGACCCUUACCUUGUGGUACAGAAGGAUGGCCAGGCGUAUACACAAGAGUCACAGCUUUCACUGACUGGAUAAUGUUCAAACUUCGACCUUAAUUUAAAAAAUGUUCUGUUAUAAUGAUACGAAUUUGUCAGAAAAAAAUUGCAAAUUAAAAGUUAAAAGCAAUAAACUUUUAAUUGUUAAUUUUACGAUAUAUAUUUAUGUAUGUA